rnacentral:rRNA from 1 species
CUGAAUCAUGCCUGCAUGGGCGGCAGCCUGACGCAGCCAACGCCGCGUGUGAUGAUGAAGGCCUUCGGGUUGUUAAAGCUCUUUUCUGAGGGGGACAAAAAAGGUCCGUGUCUGGAAUUAGUAGCUCGGUAAGCUAACUUAAUUGCCCCGACGGCCGCGGUUCAUAAAACACCAGCCGCGGUAAAUAAAAAAAAAAAA